CUAAUGACCAGAUCUAUCCAAAUAUGUGCUACAAUUGAAGAUCCAUUGGAAACUGACCGAGUUAUAAGCAUCCAAAGUGGCAAAAUGAGGAAUUUUUUUGGAAAAGUUGAGAAAAUGUUAAGUCUUUGUACCUCGAAUAACUUUUUCCACAGACAACUUAGCACAUCGGCGUAGAAUAACUUUUGGUAGCUAAUGACCAGAUCUAUCUAAAUAUGUGCUACAAUUGAAGAUCCAUUGGAAACUGACCGAGUUAUAAGCAUCCAAAGUGGCAAAAUGAGGAUUUUUUUUGGAAAAGUUGAGAAAAUGUUAAGUCUUUGUACCUCGAAUAACUUUUUCCACAGACAACUUAGCACAUCGGCGUAGAAUAACUUUUGGUAGCUAAUGACCAGAUCUAUCCAAAUAUGUGCUACAAUUGAAGAUCCAUUGGAAACUGACCGAGUUAUAAGCAUCCAAAGUGGCAAAAUGAGGAAUUUUUUUGGAAAAGUUGAGAAAAUGUUAAGUCUUUGUACCUCGAAUAACUUUUUCCACAGACAACUUAGCACAUCGGCGUAGAAUAACUUUUGGUAGCUAAUGACCAGAUCUAUCUAAAUAUGUGCUACAAUUGAAGAUCCAUUGGAAACUGACCGAGUUAUAAGCAUCCAAAGUGGCAAAAUGGGUAAAAUUUUACGGGGCAAAGCCAAGGGUAAUUUUUUUUAUCCCUCUAAUAACUUCUAGCACAGACAUUGAAUCGCUUUGUGAUGUAAGGAUGAAAUGUAGCAAACAGUUGGAACUACCCAUAAAAUCUUAAAGAUAGACGAUCCAAUGUAUAGAACCGGAGUAAUGUGCGAUACAUGGUGAAAAAUCGAGUGAAAAAUUAACUAUAAACUGUUUUUCCUCAAUAACUCGAAUACUAGACGUCGGAGGGGGGUGCCGUAGAACAAUUUUUUGUAGCCCUUGAAAUUACCUUUCGAAUGAUAUAUAGUGGUUUUUUGGUCAAAAAGUGACCCCGAGACUAGUAACCCUCCAUACACAAAACCGCCUAAAAAGUUUUGGUUUUGCAAAAUUUUGAAAAGUGCGUCAAAAAAAUUUUUUCAAAAAGUACCAAAUCGUGAUCAGAACUCACUAUAGACCAUAAAAAGUGAAAUCCGAUGAUCAUUUGCAACACUUGGUCAAUCGAGAAAAAUUUCACUUUUUUACUAGAGUCGGGUACCCUGAACGAAAAAUCGCUCAAGUGAUGGUUUUUGGCCAAUAACUCGAAUACUAGACGUCGGAGGGGGGUGCCGUAGAACAAUUUUUUGUAGCCCUUGAAAUUACCUUUCGAAUGAUAUAUAGUGGUUUUUUGGUCAAAAAGUGACCCCGAGACUAGUAACCCUCCAUACACAAAACCGCCUAAAAAGUUUUGGUUUUGCAAAAUUUUGAAAAGUGCGUCAAAAAAAUUUUUUCAAAAAGUACCAAAUCGUGAUCAGAACUCACUAUAGACCAUAAAAAGUGAAAUCCGAUGAUCAUUUGCAACACUUGGUCAAUCGAGAAAAAUUUCACUUUUUUACUAGAGUCGGGUACCCUGAACGAAAAAUCGCUCAAGUGAUGGUUUUUGGCCAAUAACUCGAAUACUAGACGUCGGAGGGGGGUGCCGUAGAACAAUUUUUUGUAGCCCUUGAAAUUACCUUUCGAAUGAUAUAUAGUGGUUUUUUGGUCAAAAAGUGACCCCGAGACUAGUAACCCUCCAUACACAAAACCGCCUAAAAAGUUUUGGUUUUGCAAAAUUUUGAAAAGUGCGUCAAAAAAUUUUUUUCAAAAAGUACCAAAUCGUGAUCAGAACUCACUAUAGACCAUAAAAAGUGAAAUCCGAUGAUCAUUUGCAACACUUGGUCAAUCGAGAAAAAUUUCACUUUUUUACUAGAGUCGGGUACCCUGUACGAAAAACCGCUAUAGUUGCGGUUUUUGGCCAAUAACUCGAAUACUAGACGUCGGAGGGGGGUGCCGUAGAACAAUUUUUUGUAGCCCUUGAAAUUACCUUUCGAAUGAUAUAUAGUGGUUUUUUGGUCAAACAGUGACCCCGAGACUAGUAACCCUCCAUACACAAAACCGCCUAAAAAGUUUUGGUUUUGCAAAAUUUUGAAAAGCGCGUCAAAAAAUUUUUUUCAAAAAGUACCAAAUCGUGAUCAGAACUCACUAUAGACCAUAAAAAGUGAAAUCCGAUGGUCAUUUGCAACACUUGGUCAAUCGAGAAAAAUUUCACUUUUUUACUAGAGUCGGGUACCCUGAACGAAAAAUCGCUCAAGUGAUGGUUUUUGGCCAAUAACUCGAAUACUAGACGUCGGAGGGGGGUGCCGUAGAACAAUUUUUUGUAGCCCUUGAAAUUACCUUUCGAAUGAUAUAUAGUGGUUUUUUGGUCAAAAAGUGACCCCGAGACUAGUAACGCUCCAUACAAAAAACCGCCUAAAAAGUUUUGGUUUUGCAAAAUUUUGAAAAGUUCAAAAAAAAAUUUUUUUUUCAAAAACUACUAAAACGUGAUAAGAACUUACUAUAGACCAUGAAAAGUGAUAUCCGAUGAUAAUUUGCAAAAGUUGGUAACUAGUAAAAAAUUUCACUUUUUUACUAGAGUCGGGUACCCGUACAUUGAACAUUUUGUAUGGAAGACAACACUUGGUGCACCAAACUUUGUACCGCGAAUAACUUUUUUGCCCGGCAUCGGAGCGCAUUGUCGUGGAACAACUUUUUGUAGCGCGUCACGAGACGCAUCUAAUUCUGAAGAAAGAUCGAGAAAAUGUUGAAAAUUGGCCGAGUUAUGGCAGGUGAAAGAAAAAGCUUAGGUCGCGAAUAACUUUUUUGCCCGACAUCGGAGCACAUGAUCGUGGAAGACUUUUAGCUUGCAUUUGUCGAGAUCAAUCCAAAUCACAAAGAAAAUCCAAAAUCGGUCGGUAAAUGACUGAGAUAUGGGCAAAAAUAGGUUGAAACGUGCGCACCUUACUCGGUGGACACAAAUCGGUACACAAAACAGGUUUUUCGCGAAUAACUUUUGUGCCCUACGUCUGAGCACAUGGGUGUAGAAUACUUUUUGGUAGAAUUUCACGAGAUGUAACUAAAACAGAAGAAAUUUUGGAAAAAUGUUGAAAAUUCACCGAGUUACAUCGAAGAAUAGGUGCAAAUGUGAACAUUUUGUAUGGAAAACAACAGUUGGUGCACCAAACUUUGUACCGCGAAUAACUUUUUUGCCCGGCAUCGGAGCGCAUGGUCGUGGAACAACUUUUUGUAGCGCGUCACAAGACGCAUCUAAUUCUGAAGAAAGAUCGAGAAAAUGUUGAAAAUUGACCGAGUUAUGGCAGGUGAAAGAAAAAGUUUAGGUCGCGAAUAACUUUUUUGCCCGACAUCGGAGCACAUGGUCGUGGAAGACUUUUAGCUUGCAUUUGUCGAGAUCUAUCCAAAUCACAAAGAAAAUCCAAAAUCGGUCGGUAAAUGACUGAGAUAUGGGCAAAAAUAGGUUGAAACGUGGCACCGGGGUUGAACGGGGUUGAAAUAGGUUGAAAUAGAGGUUUUUCGCGAAUAACUUUUGUGCCCUACGUCUGAGCACAUGGGUGUAGAAUACUUUUUGGUAGAAUUUCACGAGAUGUAACUAAAACAGAAGAAAUUUUGGAAAAAUGUUGAAAAUUCACCGAGUUACAUCGAAGAAUAGGUGCAAAUGUGAACAUUUUGUAUGGAAAACAACAGUUGGUGCACCAAACUUUGUACCGCGAAUAACUUUUUUGCCCGGCAUCCGAGCGCAUGGUCGUGGAACAACUUUUUGUAGCGCGUCACAAGACGCAUCUAAUUCUGAAGAAAGAUCGAGAAAAUGUUGAAAAUUGGCCGAGUUAUGGCAGGUGAAAGAAAAAGUUUAGGUCGCGAAUAACUUUUUUGCCCGACAUCGGAGCACAUGGUCGUGGAAGACUUUUAGCUUGCAUUUGUCGAGAUCUAUCCAAAUCACAAAGAAAAUCCAAAAUCGGUCGGUAAAUGACUGAGAUAUGGGCAAAAAUAGGUUGAAACGUGCGCACCUUACUCGGUGGACACAAAUCGGUACACAAAACAGGUUUUUCGCGAAUAACUUUUGUGCCCUACGUCUGAGCACAUGGGUGUAGAAUACUUUUUGGUAGAAUUUCACGAGAUGUAACUAAAACAGAAGAAAUUUUGGAAAAAUGUUGAAAAUUCACCGAGUUACAUCGAAGAAUAGGUGCAAAUGUGAACAUUUUGCAUGGAAGACAACACUUGGUGCACCAAACUUUGUACCGCGAAUAACUUUUUUGCCCGGCAUCGGAGCGCAUGGUCGUGGAACAACUUUUUGUAGCGCGUCACGAGACGCAUCUAAUUCUGAAGAAAGAUCGAGAAAAUGUUGAAAAUUGGCCGAGUUAUGGCAGGUGAAAGAAAAAGCUUAGGUCGCGAAUAACUUUUUUGCCCGACAUCGGAGCACAUGGUCGUGGAAGACUUUUAGCUUGCAUUUGUCGAGAUCUAUCCAAAUCACAAAGAAAAUCCAAAAUCGGUCGGUAAAUGACUGAGAUAUGGGCAAAAAUAGGUUGAAACGUGGCACCGGGGUUGAACGGGGUUGAAAUAGGUUGAAAUAGAGGUUUUUCGCGAAUAACUUUUGUGCCCUACGUCUGAGCACAUGGGUGUAGAAUACUUUUUGGUAGAAUUUCACGAGAUGUAACUAAAACAGAAGAAAUUUUGGAAAAAUGUUGAAAAUUCACCGAGUUACAUCGAAGAAUAGGUGCAAAUGUGAACAUUUUGUAUGGAAAACAACACUUGGUGCACCAAACUUUGUACCGCGAAUAACUUUUUUGCCCGGCAUCGGAGCGCAUGGUCGUGGAACAACUUUUUGUAGCGCGUCACAAGACGCAUCUAAUUCUGAAGAAAGAUCGAGAAAAUGUUGAAAAUUGGCCGAGUUAUGGCAGGUGAAAGAAAAAGCUUAGGUCGCGAAUAACUUUUUUGCCCGACAUCGGAGCACAUGGUCGUGGAAGACUUUUAGCUUGCAUUUGUCGAGAUCUAUCCAAAUCACAAAGAAAAUCCAAAAUCGGUCGGUAAAUGACUGAGAUAUGGGCAAAAAUAGGUUGAAACGUGGCACCGGGGUUGAACGGGGUUGAAAUAGGUUGAAAUAGAGGUUUUUCGCGAAUAACUUUUGUGCCCUACGUCUGAGCACAUGGGUGUAGAAUACUUUUUGGUAGAAUUUCACGAGAUGUAACUAAAACAGAAGAAAUUUUGGAAAAAUGUUGAAAAUUCACCGAGUUACAUCGAAGAAUAGGUGCAAAUGUGAACAUUUUGUAUGGAAGACAACACUUGGUGCACCAAACUUUGUACCGUGAAUAACUUUUUUGCCCGGCAUCGGAGCGCAUGGUCGUGGAACAACUUUUUGUAGCGCGUCACGAGACGCAUCUAAUUCUGAAGAAAGAUCGAGAAAAUGUUGAAAAUUGGCCGAGUUAUGGCAGGUGAAAGAAAAAGCUUAGGUCGCGAAUAACUUUUUUGCCCGACAUCGGAGCACAUGGUCGUGGAAGACUUUUAGCUUGCAUUUGUCGAGAUCUAUCCAAAUCACAAAGAAAAUCCAAAAUCGGUCGGUAAAUGACUGAGAUAUGGGCAAAAAUAGGUUGAAACGUGCGCACCUUACUCGGUGGACACAAAUCGGUACACAAAACAGGUUUUUCGCGAAUAACUUUUGUGCCCUACGUCUGAGCACAUGGGUGUAGAAUACUUUUUGGUAGAAUUUCACGAGAUGUAACUAAAACAGAAGAAAUUUUGGAAAAAUGUUGAAAAUUCACCGAGUUACAUCGAAGAAUAGGUGCAAAUGUGAACAUUUUGUAUGGAAAACAACACUUGGUGCACCAAACUUUGUACCGCGAAUAACUUUUUUGCCCGGCAUCGGAGCGCAUGGUCGUGGAACAACUUUUUGUAGCGCGUCACGAGACGCAUCUAAUUCUGAAGAAAGAUCGAGAAAAUGUUGAAAAUUGACCGAGUUAUGGCAGGUGAAAGAAAAAGCUUAGGUCGCGAAUAACUUUUUUGCCCGACAUCGAAGCACAUGGUCGUGGAAGACUUUUAGCUUGCAUUUGUCGAGAUCUAUCCAAAUCACAAAGAAAAUCCAAAAUCGGUCGGUAAAUGACUGAGAUAUGGGCAAAAAUAGGUUGAAACGUGGCACCGGGGUUGAACGGGGUUGAAAUAGGUUGAAAUAGAGGUUUUUCGCGAAUAACUUUUGUGCCCUACGUCUGAGCACAUGGGUGUAGAAUACUUUUUGGUAGAAUUUCACGAGAUGUAACUAAAACAGAAGAAAUUUUGGAAAAAUGUUGAAAAUUCACCGAGUUACAUCGAAGAAUAGGUGCAAAUGUGAACAUUUUGUAUGGAAAACAACAGUUGGUGCACCAAACUUUGUACCGCGAAUAACUUUUUUGCCCGGUAUCGGAGCGCAUGGUCGUGGAACAACUUUUUGUAGCGCGUCACGAGACGCAUCUAAUUCUGAAGAAAGAUCGAGAAAAUGUUGAAAAUUGACCGAGUUAUGGCAGGUGAAAGAAAAAGUUUAGGUCGCGAAUAACUUUUUUGCCCGACAUUGGAGCACAUGGUCGUGGAAGACUUUUAGCUUGCAUUUGUCGAGAUCUAUCCAAAUCACAAAGAAAAUCCAAAAUCGGUCGGUAAAUGACUGAGAUAUGGGCAAAAAUAGGUUGAAACGUGGCACCGGGGUUGAACGGGGUUGAAAUAGGCACCUUACUCGGUGGACACAAAUCGGUACAUAAAACAGGUUUUUCGCGAAUAACUUUUGUGCCCUACGUCUGAGCACAUGGGUGUAGAAUACUUUUUGGUAGAAUUUCACGAGAUGUAACUAAAACAGAAGAAAUUUUGGAAAAAUGUUGAAAAUUCACCGAGUUACAUCGAAGAAUAGGUGCAAAUGUGAACAUUUUGUAUGGAAAACAACACUUGGUGCACCAAACUUUGUACCGCGAAUAACUUUUUUGCCCGGCAUCGGAGCGCAUUGUCGUGGAACAACUUUUUGUAGCGCGUCACGAGACGCAUCUAAUUCUGAAGAAAGAUCGAGAAAAUGUUGAAAAUUGACCGAGUUAUGGCAGGUGAAAGAAAAAGUUUAGGUCGCGAAUAACUUUUUUGCCCGACAUCGGAGCACAUGGUCGUGGAAGACUUUUAGCUUGCAUUUGUCGAGAUCUAUCCAAAUCACAAAGAAAAUCCAAAAUCGGUCGGUAAAUGACUGAGAUAUGGGCAAAAAUAGGUUGAAACGUGGCACCGGGGUUGAACGGGGUUGAAAUAGGCACCUUACUCGGUGGACACAAAUCGGUACAUAAAACAGGUUUUUCGCGAAUAACUUUUGUGCCCUACGUCUGAGCACAUGGGUGUAGAAUACUUUUUGGUAGAAUUUCACGAGAUGUAACUAAAACAGAAGAAAUUUUGGAAAAAUGUUGAAAAUUCACCGAGUUACAUCGAAGAAUAGGUGCAAAUGUGAACAUUUUGCAUGGAAGACAACACUUGGUGCACCAAACUUUGUACCGCGAAUAACUUUUUUGCCCGGCAUCGGAGCGCAUGGUCGUGGAACAACUUUUUGUAGCGCGUCACGAGACGCAUCUAAUUCUGAAGAAAGAUCGAGAAAAUGUUGAAAAUUGGCC